CACGAAGGGCGCGAGCGUUGUCCGGAAUUAUUGGGCGUAAAGAGCUCGUAGGCGGCCUGUUGCGUCCGCUGUGAAAGCCCGGGCUUAACCCCGGGUCGGCAGUGGAUACGGGCAGGCUAGAGGGAGGUAGGGGAGAAUGGAAUUCCCGGUGUAGCGGUGAAAUGCGCAGAUAUCGGGAGGAACACCGGUGGCGAAGGCGGUUCUCUGGGCCUUACCUGACGCUGAGGAGCGAAAGCCAGGGGAGCAAACGGG
rnacentral:rRNA from 1 species